GACGAACGCUGGCGGCGUGCCUAAUACAUGCAAGUAGAACGCACAGUUUAUACCGUAGCUUGCUACACCAUAGACUGUGAGUUGCGAACGGGUGAGUAACGCGUAGGUAACCUGCCUGGUAGCGGGGGAUAACUAUUGGAAACGAUAGCUAAUACCGCAUAAUAUUGAUUAUUGCAUGAUAAUUGAUUGAAAGAUGCUAUUGCAUCACUACCAGAUGGACCUGCGUUGUAUUAGCUAGUAGGUGAGGUAACGGCUCACCUAGGCGACGAUACAUAGCCGACCUGGGAGGGUGACCGCCCACACGGGAACGGGACCACGGCCCGGCCUCCACGGGAGGCAGCAGUAGGGAAUCUUCGGCAAUGGACGAAAGUCUGACCGAGCAACGCCGCGUGAGUGAAGAAGGUUUUCGGAUCGUAAAGCUCUGUUGUAAGAGAAGAACGGGUGUGAGAGUGGAAAGUUCACACUGUGACGGUAUCUUACCAGAAAGGGACGGCUAACUACGUG
rnacentral:rRNA from 1 species